GCAUUCCUAGUCAGGAAGUUUUGGCUUUGCCGGUCAAGGGAGGAGAAGUAAAUUCUUCUCCAAAAUUAUCAGCCAAAACUAGACCUGAGAAACCGCCUCUUACCUGUGAUCAAAGGAAGGCUUCUGCCGCUGUAUCACCUAGAAUUGGAAUAAUCAAUGGUUCGAAACGUGAUCAAAGGAAGGCUUCUGCCGCUGUAUCACCUAGAAUUGGAAUAAUCAAUGGUUCGAAACGUGAGAACUCUGUUGGAGACGCAGUUGUAAAGAAGAGACUAACAGCACGGUCACUCCACACGUCAAUCAAUCUUCCUUCUGGCACCGCUGAAACAAGAAAAACAGCUGACUCACCUU
rnacentral:lncRNA from 1 species